rnacentral:rRNA from 1 species
CAGUCGCCGCGGGAAUACGUAGGGUGCAAGCGUUAAUCGGAAUUACUGGGCGUAAAGCGUGCGCAGGCGGUCCGCUAAGACAGAUGUGAAAUCCCCGGGCUUAACCUGGGAACUGCAUUUGUGACUGGCGGGCUAGAGUAUGGCAGAGGGGGGUAGAACUCCACGUGUAGCAGUGAAAUGCGUAGAGAUGUGGAGGAAUACCGAUGGCGAAGGCAGCCCCCUGGGCCAAUACUGACGCUCAUGCACGAAAGCGUGGGGAGCAAACAGGAUUAGAUACCCCUGUAGUCCCUGUCUCUUAUAC